rnacentral:lncRNA from 1 species
UUCAAACUCUCUGCAUACAAGAAGAUGACAAGGAAAAGUAGAACUCAGAUUUUGAUGACAGGAAAUUUUCCACUAGGGGGCUUCAUUAUUGUUGCUGAGUGNUUAUCAUGAUGGGAUUGAGGGAAUUGAAUCUUAAAUGAUGGAAGAAAAAAAAUUANUUGAUGGAAAUUGUUAGUAUGAGUGAAGUUCAAUCAUUGGCAUUGGGAAAAAAGUAAACUUAGCUGAAGUAUACUGGAGUUAAAUAAAGGACUCAAAGAGUGAUUCAUUUUGUGUUUCUUUUAUUUUGUUCCUGUA